rnacentral:rRNA from 1 species
UACAGAGGGUGCUAGCGUUGUUCGGAAUUAUUGGGCGUAAAGGGCGCGUAGGCGGCCCUGUGUGUCGGGUGUGAAAGCCCACCUCUUAAAGGUGGAAUUGCAUUCGAAACUACAGGGCUGGAGUGUCGGAGAGGAUGGCGGAAUUCCUGGUGUAGCGGUGAAAUGCGUAGAUAUCUGGAGGAACACCGGUGGCGAAGGCGGCAUCCUGGACCGACACUGACGCUGAGGAGCGAAAGCCAGGGGAGCAAACGGG